CACCCCCUGGCAGGCCACCAUAACGGCCACGAUCCUGCUCCACUUCCUGUGGCGGAUUCCGCGCAGCUCCAUCAUUCCCUGACAGGCCGCAGUAACCAUCGCAGCUCUGCUCCACUUCCUGUGGCGGAUUCCGCACAGCUCCACUACCCCCUGGCAGGCCUCAAUAACGGCCACGAACCUGCUCCACCUCCUGCGAUGGAUAUC
rnacentral:lncRNA from 1 species